UUGGCGGACGGGUGAGUAACGCGUGGAUAACCUGCCGUAUACCGGGGGAUAACACUUAGAAAUAGGUGCUAAUACCGCAUAAGCGCACGGCUCCGCAUGGGGCAGUGUGAAAAACUCCGGUGGUAUACGAUGGAUCCGCGUCUGAUUAGCUAGUUGGAGAGGUAACGGCUCACCAAGGCAACGAUCAGUAGCCGACCUGAGAGGGUGACCGGCCACAUUGGGACUGAGACACGGCCCAAACUCCUACGGAAGGCAGCAG
rnacentral:rRNA from 1 species